GGCAGUGGUAGCUUAGUGCUUAGGACGUUGGACUUGUGAUCAUAAGGUUGUUAGUUCAAAUCGCAGCACUGCCA